rnacentral:rRNA from 1 species
GACGAACGCUGGCGGCGUGCCUAAUACAUGCAAGUAGAACGCUGAAGGAGGAGCUUGCUUCUCUGGAUGAGUUGCGGACGGGUGAGUAACGCGUAGGUAACCUGCCUGGUAGUGGGGGAUAACUAUUGGAAACGAUAGCUAAUACCGCAUAAUAGCAGUUGUUGCAUGAUAACUGUUUGAAAGGUGCAAUUGCACCGCUACCAGAUGGACCUGCGUUGUAUUAGCUAGUUGGUGGGGUAACGGCUCACCAAGGCGACGAUACAUAGCCGACCUGAGAGGGUGAUCGGCCACACUGGGACUGAGACACGGCCCAGACUCCUACGGGAGGCAGCAGUAGGGAAUCUUCGGCAAUGGACGGAAGUCUGACCGAGCAACGCCGCGUGAGUGAAGAAGGUUUUCGGAUCGUAAAGCUCUGUUGUAAGAGAAGAACGAGUGUGAGAGUGGAAAGUUCACACUGUGACGGUAUCUUACCAGAAAGGGACGGCUAACUACGUG